GACGUAGGGCGCGAGCGUUGUCCGGAUUUAUUGGGCGUAAAGAGCUCGUAGGCGGCUCAUUGCGUCAACCGUGAAAACCAGCAGCUCAACUGUUGGCUUGCGGUUGAUACGGGUGGGCUGGAGUUCGGUAGGGGAGGCUGGAAUUCCUGGUGUAGCGGUGAAAUGCGCAGAUAUCAGGAGGAACACCGGUGGCGAAGGCGGGUCUCUGGGCCGAUACUGACGCUGAGGAGCGAAAGCGUGGGGAGCGAUCCGG
rnacentral:rRNA from 1 species